UGCUUCUAGAACUACCCUCGGGGCACAUUGACCUCUGUUACUAGGUUAUGCAGACACCCAAGUCUACUAAGGCAAGUAAUGGACACUUAAUUCAUAGGGUCACUGAAUUUUACAGCCAGAAGGAACUCUGACUUCAUGGUCUAAGAAGGAGAGAUGGCUCACUCUAAUGUCAGAAUGAGAUCUAAGGUGUUCAGGAGUAUUCCAUUCUACCUCACUUGCAUGUCUUUCUUGUUUCCUGUGGCAAUAAAUUGUUAAGAUAACUAGCCUCUGUAUGUCAACUAUACUUCAGUAAAAUUAAAAAAGGAAAAAAGGUAAUCAGCUCCUAUUUAGAGGGAAUGAAUCAGUGUAAUAAUAGAUGUGAGCUCACAUGAAAGUUAAUUGAAAUGGUUAAUGAAGGAAGAAGCAGGGACCUUCCUUCUCAGUAAGGAUUAAAAUCAAGACAAAAAUGUGUUUGGGGGUGCUUAAGGCAUGGUAAAUAAGGUUUCACUGAGACCCGCUAAGGCAUUUAUCAGUUUAUGAUAUUGUGUUGUUUUUUCCACUUGCCUACUCAUGAGAUUUAAUUUUCCCUCAUCACCACCGAUGCUCUCUGUAAGUUAAUUUUCUUUGCCUCACAGGUUUGGUUGAGUAAUAUUUUUAUAAUACAUUGAUGGUUUAGCUUAACUUUGGAAAUGAAUGUUCAGACUUUGAUUCCCUGUCCCAUCAUCGUCUGCAUUCCUACUAAGCUGGUUCAGCCCCUCCUGUGUUUUCCCUGGGCUUCACAUUACUCCUCUAAGUGGUGCUUAGUUCUCACCUAUGAGCUUUUGCAUUGCCACCUCAUGUGAGCCUUGUAACCCCCCAGUGAUGCCAUAUCUUAAGGAAGAAACACCACUGGAUAGUACUGAUCUUCAGUCAAGAGUUGGAAAACAAUUUUACUUAGAGUUCCUAUUCUCUGUUUAGCAGGCUCUUGAGCUGCACUUCCCAGCAGAUUCUAACAGCCUUAGCUAACGAGAUAGAAAGCCUUCAAGGUCUAAGAAUGUAUGAUCAUCCCUUUGCUGCUAUCAGGACACUGAAAAUAGCCUACACAACUAACACCUAUUCUGGGACAUUCAGUAAAGACUUAAAACACCACUCCAAGGAAUGUACAGUUUUGCAGUCAGCUUUCAUAGUUUCUUAGAAUAAGAACUAUAGCUGAUGUGUGUUUAGUUAUUGUGCCAUGGAAAUGAUGGUUCUUAUCAUUUGGUUUGGAAUGUCAUGUUCUUCACUCUUUGAAUGUUUGGGUAAUUGUAGGUCAGUGAACACCAGUGCUUGUACUAGGAGUUAUAGCAGACACUGUCGGUUGCCUACCCAAGGGCCAUUGCCCCUUCUUCCUUGAAAAUAGAACCCUAAUUUUGAUCAGGUAUCUUGCCACAGUGCACUCAAGGAAGGCGUGCCCCUCCAAGUCAAGACUGGUCUUUGCCAUCGUGAUAAUUCCACUCUCCUUUGCCGUUGAUUGGUUGAAUGAGGUGAAGGCAGCAAGGCAGUGUGAGUGAAACCCCAUCCUGGCCAGUGAGACCACGGGGCAGAGUGUGGGGGUGGAGUGUGCCUUAUCCUCUCUGAUGAGAAGUUUCCCAUAUCUUUGAUUCAGUUGUGUAACGAUCUGAUGCCUGGAGCAUUGGGAGCCAUCUUGCCAUCACUGUGGCUCAAAGACAAAAGCCAGAAUGCUAAGGAUCGCCAAGGAGACAGAUGAGAAACCCAGAUUCUCGACUGCAUCAUUGUUUUGUUGAAUUGAUAGCCCUGGAGCUGCCUGUUGUAUGAAAUAAGAAACAUGUGUUGUUGAAGCCAUUUUUAAGCAGGUGUUCUUUUACUUGCAGCUAAAAGCAUCUCAACAAAUAUAGGGCUCUUUCCAUUCAAGGGGCAAGAUCAGUUCAAAUUGAUUCAAAGAAAAAUUGGCAGGGGUGGAGUUGCAGACCCAUUGGCCUUUGGAACCAGAAAACCUACCAGUGACACUGGCUUCAGACUCAGGUGGAUCAAGUCUCCUAAACUCAAGUUUUCUCCACCUCUCAACAGUGCUUCCCUCUGUUUCGGCUGCAGUCUCAGGCAGGCUCCCUCCGUGUGAUAAGCCGUUCCAGCUUCAGGCCUACUACCCUUACAGGAGAGUCACAGUGGGAAAACGUGGCCUCCUCUUCUUCCUGUUUCCACCAGAAGUUGUAGGAUGAACUCUGACCUCCUGGCUUCCCCAUUCUGCACACAGGGUGGGAUGGUGUUGGGGACUGGCCAAGGCUCUCCAUCCACAGGGUUCACUUCUUCACUGAUGUAGCAGAAGUAACUGUAGCCUGUAGGGCCAGGUCGUGGGAGGGUUGAUAGCAAGUAAAUCUUGCUUUCAAAACUUUUGUUAGGUAACUUGGGUGAUUGGAAUGCUAAGGGUAAUUCCAAGAAGAGUGCUGGGGUCCAGAAGGUAUUUUUUAUUAUGUUAGAAGACAUUUGGUUAGAAUUUAGAAAUGCUGACAACGCUAUCAAAAUAGUUUUAUAUUUCAUAAAGCUAUGUAAAUUGAAGGAAAACUUUUUUUUCUCUUACUGGAGCAAAGUGUAACAAAAUAUUGAGCUAUCCACCAUUUCAAGAAUUUCCAGCUUUUGUGCCAACGAAGAAUCUAGAUGAAACUGCCAGAGAAAAUAGAGUUUUCAUUCUUUAGGGAUAAACUCUCCCAGCCUACCUCUUCUAGCCCAAAGUUACUUUUCAGACUGCAGUCAUUGAGAGACAUGAUUGGCCUUUCGUGUUACAGUUACACAUUCAGAGUACCUAAGAAACUAUUGGUAUAGAAAAGGACUAUCUACACUUUAAAAGCACAUUUUCCCCCUUCUAUUGUCUUGUAAUUUCAAAUGAGCCUCCAGACUUUUCUCAUUGUUUCUAAAAAAAAAGUAUCAACAUGAAAUUCUAAAAAUAUUUUCUUGACCCUUCUUCAGAGCUUUUGGAUACUUUCUGUACUUAGGGAAUUUUGUAGCUUAGGCCUUUAAAAAAAAAUUUUUUUUUUUUGCACAAAGAGCUAGACAGAAAAAGAACAAUCCUUUUCAUUGACAACGUCAGCUAUUUUCAUUCUGCUUCAUUCCCUUCCAAACCAUAUGUAGAUUCGAUGACUUUACUUGGUUUGAAUUUGUAUCAUUUUUUGUGUUCUUUCCUUUUUACUAGUCUUUUCAUUAAAGUUCACAUAUUUACUUCUGUCA